rnacentral:rRNA from 1 species
CUUCAACUCUCUCUUCCUAAAUAUCUUCCUUCUCGAGCUCUUCGCUUAUCUGCCUCCAACUCCCUCAGGGUCAGUCGCUUCGCCAAGCAACGAGUUGGUGGUAGAUCUCUUUCUUUGGCUGGUGCCUCCCUCUGGAACAGCCUCCCUGACUCCCUCAAACUUGAGGAGAACCAUCUCCGGAAGCACCUCAAAACCUUUCUCUUUGCUUCUGCUUUUUCUCCUCCUGUCCUCUGCUGACCUCCUGCCUGCUAACUUAAACUGCACUGGCUACCUGGACACCCUCUGAUCUCAGGCCCAGUUCCUUCCGCUUCUCCCGCCAGCACCACACACCUGCACUGACCACCUGGCAACCCUCACUUGGGGACUGUUUCUGUAUCCCUACAGUCCCCUACCAGCCCUUGUCACCUGACGCCCGCACUUACCCUUGCACUUGCCACUUGUGGCCAUUUAUUUACUUAUUGUUAUCAUCUUUCCCAUGUACAGCACUGCCCCUGACCUCUUCCCACGCACUUGCGCAAUCUGAAUGACACCUGGCCCAGUAAGAUCACUGUCCGUCCUCUCUUUGUUCCCCUCACCUUCCUUGUCGUGCCUCGAAACACUUGUGUAUAGGCGCGUUAUAAAUGCCAUAUCAUAUCAUAUCAUAUUGGAUCUUGUGAUUGAGCUUGCGGUCCACUGUGAGGAGAGCUACCGCCUGUGCCAGCCCCUGCCUCUCGGUGACCCCUUGAUGCUCUUGACUGGGUGCCUUGUGGUCUGAAGCAUUUACUUUGAAAAAAUUAGAGUGUUCAAAGCAGGCCGGUCACCUGAAUACUUCAGCAAGGAAUAAUGGAAUAGGACUUUGGUUUGUCUUGGUUUUCGGAACUGGCGUUAUGUUUAAGAGGAACGGCAGCGGACAUUCGUAUUGUCCCUCUAGAGGUGAAAUACUUGGGCCUGCGUAAGACAAACAAAAGAAAAAACAUUUGCCUAGAAUGUUUUCAUUAAUCAAGAAUGAAAGUCAGAGGUUAGAAGGCGAUCUGAUAUCGUCAUAGUUCCUACCAUAAACAAUGAUGACUAGCGAUCUGGCAGUGUUAUUCCCAUCACCCGCCAAACAGCUUUUCGGAAACCAAAGGCUUUGUGUUUGAGGGAGUAUGGUUGCAAAGCUGAAACUUAAAGGUAUUGAUGGAAGCGCACGCCCAGGUGUGGAGCCUGUGGCUUAAUUUGACUCAACAUGGGAAACCUCACCUGAUCUGGACAAGAAAAGAUUGACAGAUUGAUACUUCUUUCUUGAUUUUGUGGAUGGUGGUGCAUGACAUUCUUAGUUGGUGGAGCAAUGUGUCUAAUUAAUUCCAAUAAUGAACGAGACUCCUCCAUGCUAACUAAUUACCCGACCCCCAGCGGUCGGCGUUGAACUUCUUAGAGGGAUAAGUGGCAUUCAGCCACAUGAGAUCAAACAGUAAUAGGUCUGUGAUUCCCUUUGAUAUCCUGGACUGCACAUGCUUUACACUGGAUGGUUCAGAGUGUGUUUACCCUUCGCAGACAGUUGCAAGUAACCUGCUGAGCCCUGUUCAUGAUAGGGAUUGGGGAUUGCAAUGAUUUCCCAUGAACGAGGAAUUCCCAGUAAGUGCGGGUCAAAAGCUUGUGUUGAUUCAGUGUUUACCCUUUGUACACACCACCCCUCACUACUGCCAAUUUUAUAGUUUAGUGAGGUCCUCAGAUUGGCCUCACCGAGGUUGGCAACGGCCCUGGAGGAGUGACAAGAAGACUAUCUAGAGGAAGUUAAAUGUAUAACAAGGUUUCCAUACCUGAACCUGCGGAAG